rnacentral:rRNA from 1 species
GACGAACGCUGGCGGCGUGCUUAACACAUGCAAGUCGAACGGAAAGGCCCUGCUUUUGUUGGGUGCUCGAGUGGCGAACGGGUGAGUAACACGUGAGUAACCUGCCCUUUACUUUGGGAUAACUUCAGGAAACUGUGGCUAAUACCGGAUAGGAGCUCCUGCUGCAUGGUGGGUGUUGGAAAGUUUCGGCGGUUGGGGAUGGACUCGCGGCUUCUCAGCUUGUUGGUGGGGUAGUGGCUUACAAAGGCUUUGACGGGUAGCCGGACUGAGAGGGUGACCGGCCCCAGUGGGACUGAGAUAGGGGCAAGACUCAUACGGGAGGAAGCAGUGGGGAAUAGUGCAAAAUGGGCGGAAGCAUGAUGCAGCAACGCCGCGUGCGGGAUGACGGCCUUAGGGUUGUAAACAGCGUUCGCCUGUGAAGAAGAGUGAGUGACGGUAAUGGGUAAAGAAGCACCGGCUAACUACGUG